UGCCCGUUGAUUAAUGACUAAUAAAGAUAAUGAUACGACAGAGGGAACCAGCGAAUCAGGCAACCAAUUCCUUCAAUGGCCCAUCAAAGUUGCUGUGCCCGUUGAUUAAUGACUAAUAAAGAUAAUGAUACGACAGAGGGAACCAGCGAAUCAGGCAACCAAUUCCUUCAAGUCCAUUUGACCACCUCGUAGUUCUCUG
rnacentral:lncRNA from 1 species